rnacentral:misc_RNA from 1 species
GAGAAGAACGUAGCGAAAUGCGAUAAGUAGUGUGAAUUGCAGAAUUCAGUGAAUCAUCGAAUCUUUGAACGCACAUUGCGCCCCUCGGUAUUCCGUGGGGCAUGCCUGUUCGAGCGUCAUUUAACCCCUCAAGCCUAGCUUGGUAUUGGGUGCUUGUCCCGCCUCUCGCGCGGCGACUCACCUCAAAGUCAUUGGCAGCCCGCAUCUCGCCGGCCGUGAGCGCAGCACAGACGCGCUCUUGGCAACGACGGAUCGGCUCUCCAAAAGCUUAUUUCAACCACUGACCUCGGAUCAGGUAGGGAUACCCGCUGAACUUAAGCAUAUCAAUAAGCGGAGGA